rnacentral:rRNA from 1 species
AUAAUAAUUAGUCUAUUAAUUGUAGGCUGGUAUGAAAGAUUGAACGAGGUAAAUACUGUCUCAUUAAAAUUUUUAUUAGAAUUUAAUUUUUGAGUUAAAAAGCUUAAAUUUUAUUAGAGGACGAGAAGACCCUAUAGAACUUUAUAAUUUUAUAUUUUUUUGAAUUAAAUUUAUUUGAUAAUAUUUAAAAUUAUUUUAUUGGGGCGAUAGGAAAAUUUAAUAAACUUUUUUAAUUAAUAUUACAAUGAUGUUUGAAUUUUUGAUCCUAGUUUUUAGAUUAAUAGAUUAAGUUACCUUAGGGAUAACAGCGUUAUUUUUUUUAGAAGUUCAUAUUAAUAAAAAAGAUUGC